AACGUGAAACUAUCACGAGGCUAAAGCGGAUGUACAUACGUAGCCGAACGGGGGGUCUCAUCUCCUCGAGCCUCCAGCGGUCGUAGCUAUCGGACCGUCACCGUCCUUCCUCGCUUCGGCGGGGAGCCUGGGCGCUGUCGGCGGACGUGGCUACGGCGGACUCGGAGGAUAGGGGGGUGGAUUUCUCUCCUCAGUAGGCAGCCGCGGCCGUUCGAGAGUCGUCUAAGGCCCGGGAGUCGGGAACCGCCCGGCGGUGGAGGCGAGCUCGCUCGUCGCCGCCGUCGGCGGGGACACUCCCUCGAUCCUGACGGACUUUCGGACGGUUGAUAAAAAAUGACGACCUGGAGGUAACCAAAUCCCCGGUCGUACGCGGCUGUAAUGCGAUCGUUCAUCCGUCCCGUCUUGAAACACGGACCAAGGAGUCUAACAUGUACGCGAGUCAACGGGUUGGCUAAACCCCAAGGCGCAACGAAAGUGAAAAAUUUUAGAGAGUGUCUCCUCUUCGGAGGGGCGCUUUCGAGAGAUUGGGUCGAUCCGUGAUCCCUAAAACUGUGGACCGGCGCAGACCCGGGGCUCGCCGCUACCUCCUCGAGACUCCGUCUCGAGGCGGGCGGCGGGCACCUUGAGCGUACAUGCUAGUACCCGAAAGAUGGUGAUCUAUGCCUGGCCAGGAUGAAGCCAGAGGAAACUCUGGUGGAGGUCCGUAGCGAUUCUGACGUGCAAAUCGAUCGUCAGAGCUGGGUAUAGGGGCGAAAGACCAAUCGAACCAUCUAGUAGCU
rnacentral:rRNA from 1 species